UACAGAGGUGGCUAGCGUUGUUCGGAAUUACUGGGCGUAAAGGGCGCGUAGGCGGCUUGGUCAGUCCCGUGUGAAAUCCCUCGGCUCAACUGAGGAACUGCACGGGAAACUGCCUGGCUUGAGUUCGGGAGAGGGAAGCGGAAUUCCAGGUGUAGCGGUGAAAUGCGUAGAUAUCAAGAGGAACACCUGAGGUGAAGACGGGUUGCUGGGCUGACACUGACGCUGAGGCGCGAAAGCCAGGGGAGCGAACGGG
rnacentral:rRNA from 1 species